CUCAACAACCAAGCUUACUCUGCCGCCACUGCCAGUUGCAAAGUGGCCAACCAUAGCUUGGAAUCAACUUGAUUGUUGCCUCCAUAUCUUGCACUUGGGAUGCUAACGGCUGAAGGGAAACAUAAGGAACAAAAUUCAUUUCUUUGUACAUCUCUACCAUAUCAUUGCUCUGAAGUCUGAAAUUAUAAGUUUUAUUCAUUUCUUUAUACCGACUGAUGUGAAGGUGAAGCAGAUGAAGAGGGUGGAGUCGGACUGUGUGACGAUGCAGAAGAAGUUUAGCAAGGAUAGGGAUCCGAUGGUGACUGCUUAUGAGGUUAGGGGUAAACCCUCGGCAUUGAAGGUGGAGGAUUGGGACUGGGUUGUGGUGGUUUUCGUCUUGUUGAGAUUUUCAAUAAGAGUAAGUGGAACUCUCAGUUCUAAGGUUUUAAUUGCACUGAGAAAUUGUUAUCUUGGUCAUUGAGAUUGUAGCUUUCUGAAUUUGUUUUAUGUUUUUGAAAGCGCAUUCUAGCUGAUAUGGAUUGUGUUGUUUAUGUAUGUUAUCUUAUGAUGUAGUUAUGGGGUUUUUCAUGCGAUUCGAAGAUGAUAGUGUGGAAUCAGCAAAGAUUGUGAAACCGUGGAAUGUGAAGAUCAUCUCGGUUGGUUGGUAGAAUUUAUUUGAUUUAAUGUGUUACCAGUAAAAGUUCCACUGAAUUAUGCUCGUAGGAAAAACAAAUUAAUUGUCUUAAUUUGCUGCUGCAAUGGGAAAAAAAAAUGUUUCCCUUCAUUUAUGCUUGUAGGAAAAUCAAAAUGAUUCAACUUUCAAGGUCAAUGGUUUGUUAGACCCCUGGAACCAUUAUGCACACAAGUAGUUAAUUAGUUACCCCUUCCUUUGUGCUUUAAUUAUCUUGAUUUGUAUCCCUACAAUGAAAUAUGAUUGUCUGUUUUUACCUGUAAGAAUUUCACUACAUUGAAUACGUAUAUUUACCAAAAUAAAAAAGUACACGGGAGGGGGGGAUUGCUCGUGAAUUUCUAAGAUUGGUCCUGAUUGUAUCAUGGUUUGCACAAAUUGGUUGCCUAUGUGUGAAGCCUACGUACCAAAUAAUUUUCACAUACCGUAUCAUUAUUUAAGAUUUGCAUAGAAAAAAGAGGACACACUUGUUAUUGAAAAGGGAAACUCUCAGAGUGCUUGCCAAGUUUAUUGGGGUUCAACUUGUUAACUUCAUAUUCAAUUGUAUUUCAAGAACACUGUACCUCCCAUUGGUAAGCAGAGCUGCAGUUUUUUCUUUUUCUUUCCCAAAUUAUUUGCCAACCUUGUUUUUGUAACAACUUUAAUUCUUGCACUUGUUGCAGAGGCUUUGAUGUCUGAAUUUGAUGCGGAUAAUAAGGGUGACAAUGGAGAUCUUCACACAACCUACACUAGCAAAGGGAAAGAAGAUGACUCUGAAUCAUUAAUGUGUUACCAAGGACUAAGAGUAGAGCUGCUGCAAUGAGUGACAUAAUUACUCGCAGGGUCGAUGCAGAGGACCAAGAGUAAAGCUGCUGCAAUGAGUGACAUAAUUACUCGCAGGGUCGAUGCAGAGGACUAAGAGUAGAGUUGCUGCAAGGAGUGACAUAAUUACUUGCAAGGUCGAGGGGAGGAAGUUAGUUGUCAAACUAACAAGCCAAUCUGGAGUGACAUAAUUCCUGUAGGAUUAUAGAUGGUAUAAAUGUUUAGGAUAAUGUAUAUAUGUUUAAAUACUAGAAGUGCAAUACAUUCUUCAUUCUCAAAGAAACCAAAUAAA